GGGGGUAUAGCUCAGCUGGGAGAGCAGCAGACUGAAGUUGCCCGUUUCUUUCUAAUGUUCUGAAGGUCCCGCGUUCGAUCCGCGGUACCCCCA